rnacentral:rRNA from 1 species
UGGCCGCGGUAUAUUGACCGUGCGAAGGUAGCAUAAUAAUUUGUCUUUUAAUUGAGGACUAGUAUAAAUGGUCGAACAAAAAGUUAGCUGUCUCUGAGUCAU